UUGGUGGGGUAAUGGCCUACCAAGGCUUUGACGGGUAGCCGGCCUGAGAGGGUGACCGGCCACACUGGGACUGAGACACGGCCCAGACUCCUACGGGAGGCAGCAGUGGGGAAUAUUGGACAAUGGGCGGAAGCCUGAUCCAGCAACGCCGCGUGAGGGAUGACGGCCUUCGGGUUGUAAACCUCUUUCAGCACAGACGAAGCUGACUCCACGUGUGGGGCGGGUGACGGUAUGUGCAGAAGAAGCACCGGCCAACUACGUGCCGGCAGCCGCGGUAAUACGUAGGGUGCGAGCGUUGUCCGGAAUUAUUGGGCGUAAAGGGCUCGUAGGCGGUUUGUCGCGUCGGGAGUGAAAUCCACUGGCUUAACUGGUGGCUUGCUUUCGAUAUGGGCAGACUGGAGGUAUGCAGGGGAGAACGGAAUUCCUGGUGUAGCGGUGAAAUGCGCAGAUAUCAGGAGGAACACCGGUGGCGAAGGCGGUUCUCUGGGCAUGUCCUGACGCUGAGGAGCGAAAGUGUGGGGAGCGAACAGGAUUAGAUACCCUGGUAGUCCACACCGUAAACGUUGGGCGCUAGGUGUGGGAUCCAUUCCACGGGUUCCGUGCCGCAGCUAACGCAUUAAGCGCCCCGCCUGGGGAGUACGG
rnacentral:rRNA from 1 species